CCAUUAUAGGUUAUUACAAGAUAUUGAAUAUAGUUCCCUGUGCUAUACAGUGACAUAGAAAGAGAAGAAGGAAAAUUACACAUCAGGAAAGGCCCCGAAUGUAAGACAGCAAACAGACACAGUGAAAUCUAAACCAGGGUCAGUGACCUUCUUUCCAAGUUGGAUCCUCAAUGGGAGGGUGAGAACGGAGGGGCUGCUUUAUGGAAAUCUGCUGAGGCCCCCCGGGGAGCAGCGAAUGUGCCGUCAUCACCCCCUCCCUCCCCGUCAGCACCCCACCUUCACGCCCUGCCCGGACACAGUUCUCUUACAGAAAAGUAGGAUAAUAAGGCCAUAAUGUUGUUUUCCAGAGGUAAGUGAAAACACCUUAAAUGUGUUACUGGUAUUUGGGGGAAAGGGAGAUUAGGCUGGGGGUGGUGCCCGGGAAGGGUGGUGGGUACGCUAAUUGAACCUCGGGAUUAAACUCUCCGGGCCCUAACGCUGCCUGCCCCCUGGCAGAAACAUCACAGAGGUCUCAGAAGCGGCUUUGAGGCUUUUCCGGGGCUCGGAGAUGAUCCUUUGGAGCCCAGGUACGAUGAUACCUGAGUUUGUCCCGGCCUCACAGUAAUGGGGCCACUGGGAGUCUUUCUUCUACAGAAGAGAAAGGUGGGGCUGGCAGGCAGCAGGGGCGAGGCGGGUGCAGCAGGCAGCCGGGCAGCCGCAGGAGGCUCUGGCCGGCGCUGGGCGAGCCAGGUCUGAACCUCAGAGAGGGCUGCUCGCAAAUGAGCUCAGCCCUGGCGUGUUGCCUUCACCCGACAGCCGCUGGCUGUUAGGGGCAUUUUGAAGUCAGACAAAUAUAUCUCCCAGCGGCCUGGAACGGAGCGGGAAGAGGCACAGAGAGUGGGAUGACAAAGCACAGAGUCGAAAGCUGCUCCUGCUGGUUUUGGCAAAAGGGAGGGUGGGGAGAGGUAGGGAAGAGCCCACCCUGAGCUUUACAGGUGCUGUCGGGGAGCACAGCCGUCCUGCACCGCUGUUCGCCCGGACAGGGAGCUCAGGGUUGGAAGGGACCUUGGUACCAGCCGGUGCAAGGAUGCUGCCGCCGGGGCCAGUGCAAGACGGUGGAAUCCAGCGCAUCCCAUCUCUGCUGCAACUCCUUCACACACCCCAUCUUUCCCAGGCUCCGAAGGAAUUUAUCCUCCUCAUGCAGCCCUUCAGACAGAUGAAGGCAGUGUCUGAAACCUCCCCCUACUCUCCCCCUCCCCCAGACCUUCCAUCUUCUUCAUGAUGACCGCCAUGUCGUAGUGACUGUCAUGUGGCACCAUGACUGCUUCUAGAGGCUUCUGCAUUCCUUGCCUUGGAACUGCUUCCCUCAUCUUCAGAUCCGGCAAGUAGCAGCUCCCAGUCCCUUCCUGACCCUGAGGAUCACCCUUGAGCCUUGCUUUUCCACUUUAAAGGACCCUUGUGAUUGCAUCGGGCCCACCCACACAGUCCAGGAUAAUGUCCUUAUUUUAAGGUGAGCUGAUUAGCGAUCUUAAUGCUGUCUUAACAGCCUCUCGCUGUAUCACACCUGUAUCCACAGAUUCUGGGGGACUAGGACAUGUGCAUCUUUGAGAUGCCAUUCUUUUACCUUCCAUGAGAUCCACAUCCCAGCUCAUAAAAAAGCCAAGAAACUGCCCAGGCCUGUAGGCUGGUCUGUGGCCACUGACCCCAUAAAUAGGAUGUGGUCUCCGGCUGCGCGUUCCCAUAGCCCCUCCCUUGUCCACCAGGGAUCACUAUGCACAAUUUAUUAUAACUACUUUUUUUUAAUAGAUCUUUAUUGGAGUAUAAUUGCUUCACA